rnacentral:tRNA from 1 species
GCGAGGAUGGUGGAAUUGGUAGACACGUACGCUUGAGGUGCGUAUGAUUUAUUCGUGAGGGUUCGAGUCCCUUUUCUCGCACCA